AUAUCGAAUUCCAAUAGAUAAGGAACUCGCAAGAAAUCGAGCUUUCUAUCGGCGCUUUCCAGUCCUUAAAGAGGGGCCCAAGCUAUGCUGGCGAUCACGUCGCUUAUAACUUGGCUUAAACGACGCUCAACUCGGUUUUAAUUGCACGCACAAAACGUGCGCAGCCACAUCGAAAGUUAGCGCCAGACAUGGAGCUGACAUUUCCAAGAAUUAUUUAACUAUGUACUAGUAAAAGUCCCCUAAAGGCAAAGGGCAUAUGACAGACCCAUUCAAAUUGCUAAAUAUAAUUUAAUCGCAGCUGAGAUCAAGAUUUUUUGAGAGCGCAUUUAAUAAUCCACAGCUAUAAAACGAAGCUGUUUUUAGAAAGCCAUAUAAAUGUUAUUCUUAGAAUUAAACUCCAAUAAGACGUGCCAUGCCAUAUAUUCGCAAAUAUAUAUGUACAUAUGUUUAUUUAUAUAUGAAUAUGCAGAUAUGUAUAUCCGUAUAUACUAUAUAAGCAUUGUUCUUAUGGAUUGUGAUUAUCUAGUAGUUCCGUUCGAAAUAUUUCUGCUCGAUUUCAGCAAGUAAAUUUUAAAGAAUUUUACUACUGUUCAAUCUUAGCGGAUGGCUAGUAUAUCAACUUCUCAGGCAACAGGCAUACAAAUCGAAAUUUUCAGACUGUAGAAGCUACCGAGAUAUAUUUCAUCUGAAUAAUUGUAAACAGUUAAUCAUUUAUGAAGAUGUUAAGCGAUGAUAAACAAGCCAUCUGAAGUUAGCUCUGAAACUGAUGCUUCAUGUACUUGAGUUCAUGCCCCAUCUGGAUAGGCAAUGUAGACACACAGUUAUACCCUAGACGUUGAUGAAACCCACCAAUAAAGCUGUCACAUCAAGUCUGUCCGAAGCAUGUGGCCAGGCAAUAACAAGUUGAUUACUAAGCAUGCUCACGCCUUUACCUGAGAUUGAUCUUAUCCGCCGGUGUGGAUCGGCACUGCGCGAACUUGAACUAAGCGCAAUUGCGAGCCGUGCUGCAAUUAUUUCGCUUCACUCGGAUGCACAAUGUUUAUAGUUUCAGCUUGAAGAAAAACGUAUUAAAAACAAAAUAAAAUAAAGAAAACAAAAGACAA